ensembl:rRNA 5S_rRNA 5S ribosomal RNA
CUCAACAGCCAUGUCACCCUGCAGCCCAAGACCGGUUAUUCACUGAAGCUAAGCAGGGCUGAGCCUGGUCAGUACCUGGAUGGGAGACCACUUAGGAAAACUAGAUUGCUGUUGGAA